GUACAGUCAACGGAGGCAGGAUCAUGAGCACAGUUUCAGAGUUGAGCUACUCCAAUUUUGGCAGAGGCAGCCUGGGAAUUUCCAUGGUGAUGAAAGAGAAGCAACUGUGCCUUCAGAACUGGAUGUUCCUGCAUGGACAUCUAUCCCCGCCAUGGGUCUGGUGGUUGUUUUCUUCUAUUUUCUAAGGCCACUGGUGCAAACGAAGUCCAGUUCAAUAGUGACCAGAAGUUAUUGCACCUGACAACAGAAUCAAAUACAUGAGAAAUUGAUUGGCAGUCCUUAGCACAGGUCCUUGUGACUUGGUCAUGAAAUUGCUGCCCCUUCUGACACAAAUUGGACCCAAUGAAGCUGUAUUACCACAAAUGCUCGGGAACAAGAAGGGUGGAACACUCUACUUUGUGACAGAGACAAUCAGGUCACAUUCUUCAUUUAAAAGGCUUUCUUCAUAAAAUGUAGUUUUGUCAAGACAGAACUUUAUGAAAUUCA